UACGUAGGGCGCAAGCGUUGUCCGGAAUUAUUGGGCGUAAAGGGCUCGUAGGCGGCUUGUCACGUCGGGUGUGAAAGCCCGGGGCUUAACCCCGGGUCUGCAUUCGAUACGGGCUAGCUAGAGUGUGGUAGGGGAGAGCGGAAUUCCUGGUGUAGCGGUGAAAUGCGCAGAUAUCAGGAGGAACACCGGUGGCGAAGGCGGAUCUCUGGGCCAUUACUGACGCUGAGGAGCGAAAGCGUGGGGAGCGAACAGG
rnacentral:rRNA from 1 species